AUGCGUCCUAUUAGCUAGUUGGUAAGGUAACGGCUUACCAAGGCAACGAUAGGUAGGGGCCCUGAGAGGGGGAUCCCCNACACUGGUACUGGGACACGGACCAGACUCCUACGGGAGGCAGCAGUGAGGAAUAUUGGACAAUGGAGGCAACUCUGAUCCAGCCAUGCCGCGUGAAGGAUGACUGCCCUAUGGGUUGUAAACUUCUUUUAUACAGGAAGAAACCGUUCCACGUGUGGAGCUUUGACGGUACUGUAUGAAUAANNACC
rnacentral:rRNA from 1 species